UACAGAGGGGGGCAAGCGUUGUUCGGAAUUACUGGGCGUAAAGGGCGCGUAGGCGGCCACCGCAAGUCAAUUGUGAAAUCUCCGGGCUUAACCCGGAAAGGUCAGCCGAUACUGCGGGGCUAGAGUGCAGAAGGGGCAACUGGAAUUCCUGGUGUAGCGGUGAAAUGCGCAGAUAUCAGGAGGAACACCAAUUGCGAAGGCAGCUCGCUGGGACGUUACUGACGCUGAGACGCGAAAGCGUGGGGAGCAAACAGG
rnacentral:rRNA from 1 species